rnacentral:rRNA from 1 species
GCUUGUCUCAAAGAUUAAGCCAUGCAUGUCUAAGUAUAAACAAAUCUAUACUGUGAAACUGCGAAUGGCUCAUUAUAUCAGUUAUAGUUUAUUUGAUGGUCCUUACUAUUUGGAUAACCGUAGUAAUUCUAGAGCUAAUACAUGCAUCAAUCCCCGACUUCUGGAAGGGGUGUAUUUAUUAGAUGGAAACCAAUGCGGGGCAACCCGGAAUCUGGUGAAUCAUAAUAACUUUCGGAUCGAUCUUCGGAUCGAUGCAUCAUUCAAGUUUCUGCCCUAUCAGCUUUGGAUGGUAGGGUAUUGGCCUACCAUGGCUUUAACGGGUAACGGAGAAUUAGGGUUCGAUUCCGGAGAGGGAGCCUGAGAAACGGCUACCACAUCCAAGGAAGGCAGCAG